rnacentral:rRNA from 1 species
UACGAAGGGGCUAGCGUUGCUCGGAAUCACUGGGCGUAAAGCGCACGUAGGCGGACUCUUAAGUCGGUGGUGAAAUCCUGGAGCUCAACUCCAGAACUGCCUUCGAUACUGGGAGUCUUCGAGUCCGGGAGAGGUGAGUGGAACUGCGAGUGUAGAGGUGAAAUUCGUAGAUAUUCGCAAGAACACCAGUGGCGAAGGCGGCUCACUGGCCCGGUACUGACGCUGAGGUGCGAAAGCGUGGGGAGCAACAGG